rnacentral:rRNA from 1 species
AUGCCCGUCCAGCCCAUGAAGACCAUCGCCGCCGUCGCCCUCUCCGACGCCUCCUUCGGGGUCCCCGAGAUGAUGGCCGCCGGCAUCCUCACCUCGGCGUUCGUAUUCGUCCUCGGGGUCACCCGCCUCAUGAAGCUCGUCUACUGGUUCGUGCCGCUGCCCGUCGUCCGCGGCAUCCAGCUCGCACAGGGGCUCAACUUCGCCAUGGCCGCCGUCAAGUACAUCCGCUACGAGCAGGACCUCGGGAAGAGCAAGUCCCUCGGCCGGCGCCCCUGGGCCGGCCUCGACGGCCUUGUCCUCGCCAUCGUGGCCAUCUUCUUCGUCGUCCUCGUCAACGGCGCCGGCGACGAUCACAGCACAGCCGUCCAGGAAGAAGAAAGGGGAGGAGAUCAGGAGGAGGAUAAUAGCGGCCGCUCUUCCCGCUUGCGUAAAUUGAGGCGGCGCCUGCGGUCGGCGACGAUCCCGUCGGCGGUGAUCCUGUUCGUGCUGGGCGUGGUCCUCGGCAUCAUCCAGCACCCGGCGGCGCUGAGGGAGCUGCGCGCGGGUCCGUCGCGGAUGCGCGUGGUGCGCAUACCGAGGGAGGCUUGGAAGCAGGGGCUGAUCAAGGGCGCGAUCCCGCAGAUCCCGCUCUCGGUGCUCAACUCGGUGGUGGCGGUGUGCAAGCUGACGCGCGACCUGUUCCCGGAGAAGAAAGAGGCGUCGGCGACGUCGGUGUCGGUGACCAUGGGCGCCAUGAACCUGGUGGGUUGCUGGUUCGGCGCCAUGCCGUGCUGCCACGGCGCGGGCGGGCUGGCCGGGCAGUACAAGUUCGGAGGGCGCAGCGGCGCGUGCGUGGCGGCGCUGGGUGGGCUGAAGCUGGCGCUGAGGCUGGCGCUCGGCGGCUCCGUGCUGCGCGUGCUCGCCGCGUUCCCUGUGGGGCUGCUGGGCGUGCUGCUGCUGUUCGCCGGCGUCGAGCUGGCCAUCGCGGCGAGGGACAUGUCGUCCAAGGCGGAGGCGUUCGUCAUGCUCGUCUGCACCGCCGUGUCGCUCGUCGGCUCCAGCGCCGCGCUGGGGUUCCUCUGCGGCAUGGUCGCGCAUGGCCUGCUGCUGCUCAGGGCACUCGCAGUUUCCAUAUGA